AAUCAACGCUGGCGGCGUGCCUCAGACAUGCAAGUCGAACGAUUAAAGCUCUCUUCGGAGAGUGUAUAGAGUGGCGCACGGGUGAGUAACACGUAAGUAAUCUACCUUUGAGUGGGGAAUAACAAUCGGAAACGAUUGCUAAUACCGCAUAAUGCAGCGGCAUCGCAAGAUGACAGUUGUUAAAGGAGCAAUCCGCUUAAAGAGGAGCUUGCGGCAGAUUAGCUAGUUGGUAAGGUAAUGGCUUACCAAGGCUACGAUCUGUAACCGGUCUAAGAGGACGGUCGGUCACACUGACACUGAAUAACGGGUCAGACUCCUACGGGAGGCAGCAGUCGGGAAUUUUGGGCAAUGGGCGAAAGCCUGACCCAGCAACGCCGCGUGAAGGAUGAAGCAUUUCGGUAUGUAAAACUUCGAAAGAAUAGAAGAAUCAAUGACGGUACUAUUUAUAAGGUCCGGCUAACUACGUGCCAGCCGCCGCCGUAAG
rnacentral:rRNA from 1 species